UUCAAGAGUAAAUAAUUAACUGCUGCGCCAAGGUUCCAUUUCCUCCUAACCUUCGUUCUUCUUAACAGAUACGUGUACACAACACACACACGUAGACUGGGAGGUCAUUAGAAGGAAACAAAGCCUGAAAAGGACGCUGCUCGUGUCACUGAGUUUCUUCAGCAAACGCUGUUUUCAUUUCCCAGAACGUAAUUCCUUGCUCUCAACUAGCUAUUGGGAAACAGAAUUUUGGCCUCCCACUCAGUUAGGGUAACCCUUCCAUCUUGCUUCACGUUCCUAAUGUUACGACAAAACAAAACUGACAACCAUCUUAGGAAUGAUUCUUUUAAACUAUUAUUUAACAACUCAGUUAAACCAGAAAAUCUUGCUGUGCAGUGAAUCAGCUGCCUUAUGGUAAUAGUUAGAUAUAGCAUGCAGCUCCAAAUUCCUGUCAAUGUUUGCUGUAUUUACGCAAUCAGAAAAUUAGUCACUGAACUGUCAGAACAGGAGUGAAUUUCGAAACCCACCCACAAACUCUGGGGAACUACCCCCAUUUCUUGUCUGUGAACUGGUCCCCUCCUAGUCUAAACUGAACUGUUCAAAAUCUAACUAACAGACUGUCAGGCAGUUUCACAAAGAAGAACAAUUCAGGUUAUUAAAUUAUUUGGCAGGCAGAGAGAAUAAUGAGUCAGUCGUCAGGACGAGCUUGGAACAGGAUAAAGCCACUGCUGGAGGAAGUCAGUAUGCAAAUCUCGCCUGUUCAACUGGAACUUUUUUUAUAAAUGUUUAAACUUCCUCGAGCGACAACAGACUGCGUACAGACAUACCUGGAGACUGAAGGAUCCUCUCAGAUGCUAUGGUUAUUAUGGGCUGUUCCCUGUACUCUAGUUCCUAUGGACUGUUCCCAGAAAUCUGUCAUGGAUUGUUCCCAGAACUCUGAUUAUUACAGACUUCCCUGGACCCGAGUUCUUAUGGGCUGUUCCUAGA